GGCCUGUUGGUCUAGAGGUAUGAUUCGCGCUUCGGAUAAUCAAUCCAUUCACCUGCAUGUGAAUAUGCAUGUGCGAGGUCCCGGGUUCGAUCCCCGGAUAGGCCC